ensembl:lncRNA
AGGGGAUUUAAGUGAUACUGAACAGGGCUGGUUGUUGGUGUGAGGAUUUCAAAGACUGCUGAUCUGCUGGGAUUGUCCCACACAACCAUCUCUGGGGAUUACAGAUAAAGAUCCAAAUAAGAGCAAAUAUCCAGCAAGCGGCAGUUUGAUGCUAAAGAUCAGAGGCUGGCCCGACGGCUUGGAGCUUAUAGGAGUGCAGAAGAUCAUCUCUGAACAUGUUAAACCCUGAAGCAGAUGAGCUACACCAGCAGGAGACCACACCAGGUGGUCUGUACCCAGUACUAGCAACAUGUACCUAAUGUAAUGCCAUGAUGUGCAGUAUUUCUAGUUUCAUGUUACUACAUAUUGUCUGUGCUGAAGGUCCAAGUCAACCUAUGAACCUAAUUUGGAGCAGACUAACUCCUGGAGAGUUUAUAAACGUCCUACAGUUUUAUUUUAAUAACUCUUGUUUAUCACCAGCUUCUGUUUCCAGCGUAAAAGAAAAUCGUUCUAAUUGUGCGUGAUGGAAACACAGAGCAGCGCACGUUACAAGCAUCAUGUACUGUAUUUUCAUGUUAAUACUAAGAAACAUUACAGCUCAUUCAGUCAAAGUCACCAUGCACUCUGUUACACAUCAGAACAUCUUCCUCAUAAUCCAGACGAACUAACAUCAUCAUACAUCAUCAUCAUCAGCAGUCAGAGAGGAACAUUAGUAUUACAUCUCAUACAAAGUUGGCCGGAGCUGUGCUUCAGCAGACUUUUCUAAUAAUGGGACCGAGUGAUUUUAGAGGAGGGGAAGUUCAAGGACACGCGGUGGCACCGCUCUUGGAUCGUGGCUGGGUUUGUGUGGGUUUCCGUGGAGAAAGUGGCGUGUGCUGCUCCCGUUCCCUUUGCUGCGUGAAUGCAAUGACUUCCUAUUUGGUGUGUUGUGCGGCGGGUAAAACAUGAAGGCGAACAGAGAAUGCUGUGUGUGUGCAACAGUCACAAUGUGCAGGUUUAGGUCCUUGUUUUCCACGACAAACACAUCCCUCCCUCUGCGAGCACCGUUCCAUCAUCGUGACAUGAGAAUGAGCUUUUUAACAAGUCAAUGUACAACAUCAAGGCACUAGCUAACGUUUCAGCGAGCGGGUUUCACUCACUGGGAGAACUAAGAAAUGAAAAGUGCGACUGAAACCUGCAAUAUUUUCUUGAAUUAGCACAAAUUAAUAAAAAAAUCAUUAUGAGGCUACGGGAGGAAACUGCCUCUGGUCCCACUGAAGUAAUCAACAGUGAGGACAACAUAUUAAAAAGAUUGAAAAGGUGCUUGGCAACAUGUGGUCCAGUCCUUUUGACUAACGACACGUUAGUUCCCUCAGACAGCAGCAGCUGCAGUUUGUGCGAGCUGGGUUCAUGCAUGUGGAGCCGCAGCAGCUGCGCCUGCGUCGCGUCUCUCCUUUCCUUUACACACAUCAAGUUCCAGCCUGUCCGAGCGCUCUGCUGCGUCGAAUCCGAGAGCGGUUGAAUUCCUUUUGUUUGUCUGCUUGCGGGUCGCCGUCCUUAAUCCUCUUCACCGUUCCAGUCGUUUGUGCUCCUUCCCGCUCAGACUUCAUCAUCCAUGUACGGGAUGUCUGGGUCAGAAAACCGUCUGUGGACGUUUGAGACUUUCAUGUCGCUGUGCUGGAGCUGAGGAGUGGGCGCAGCCGUGGAGACGGAAGAAGAGGAAGAGGCGGCUGAAGGAGGACAGGAAGAAAAACGCAGCAGCAAGUCGCACUCUGACCCGUCGAGGUAAAGGGACUGGGUGCUGUCUUUACGGCGGCCAGGCUGCUCUCGUCUCUUGGCCGAGAAGGCAGGCGCUCGGCUUCCGGGAGGGGCGUGAGACUGAGGUGGACUCGAGGUUGGCGCCUGGGAGCAGACUCCCUGCGGGAGUUUAACCGUGUUUGGGAUGAUGGGGUUGCGACGCUGAAGCGGAUGCCUGAAGGAGGCGUUGGAGGAUUCAGAAGUUGAAGAAGUGCAGCUAGCCAAAGAAGAGGUGGAGCUAGCAGGGGUGAGGGUCGACACAGAGAUGCGUCCACCGGGGACUUUAGGCCUCUGGGUCAGAUCUGAAGGUUUGGGAAGACAAAGCGCUUUGGAUCUCCUCAGCUGAUGAGCACCGCGUCCUGGAAGAGAAGAGGAUAGAGGAAGGAUGAGGAAUAUUUAACCAA